GACGAACGCUGGCGGCGUGCUUAACACAUGCAAGUCGAACGGAAAGGCCCUGCUUUUGUGGGGUGCUCGAGUGGCGAAAGGGUGAGUAACACGUGAGUAACCUGCCCUUGACUUUGGGAUAACUUCAGGAAACUGGGGCUAAUACCGGAUAGGAGCUCCUGCGGCAUGGUGGGGGUUGGAAAGUUUCGGCGGUUGGGGAUGGACUCGCGGCUUAUCAGCUUGUUGGUGGGGUAGUGGCUUACCACGGCUUUGACGGGUAGCCGGCCUGAGAGGGUGACCGGCCACAUUGGGACUGAGAUACGGCCCAGACUCCUACGGGAGGCAGCAGAGGGGAAUAUUGCGCAAUGGGCGGAAGCCUGAUGCAGCAACGCCGCGUGCGGGAUGACGGCCUUCGGGUUGUAAACCGCUUUCGCCUGUGACGAAGCGUGAGUGACGGUAAUGGGUAAAGAAGCACCGGCUAACUACGUG
rnacentral:rRNA from 1 species